CGUCUGUGUGUUUAUGUGGGUCUGAGUGGCUGUAGGAGCUGGGUGGACACAGGAAUACUCUAGCUACAGGGAGGCUGACACAGGAAGAUUCCAACUGUCAAAGCAGUGAGGUCCAGGAUCAACAAAAGACCUCCUCAAAGAAUAAGGUGGAGAGUGACAGAGGAAGACAGCUGAUGUCAACCUCUGGCUCCCACAUGUGCAUACACCUGUACACACGUACACACAAACAUGCACACACACAAUAAACACCUCCUUUUUUUGUUUUGUUUGGUUUUUUGUUUUUUCGAGAUAGGGUUUCUCUGUGUAGUUUUGGUGCCUGUCCUGGAUCUCCCUCUGUAGACCAGGCUGGCCUCAAACUCACAGAGAUCAGCCUGGCUCUGCCUCCCAAGUGCUGUAAUUAAAGGCAGGCGCCACCACUGCCCGGCCCAUUUUUUUUAAAAAACUGGAGAGUAGGCUGGCUUUAUUUGAAAAAGUCUGAUGCGCUGUAGGGGCUGUCUAUACAUUUUGAAGUUUUACGGAGGAGGAGGGCUUUGUUAAUACCUUGUUUUCUUUUCCUGCUGUUCAAAGGACAUCUGUGAGUACACAUGUUGGCUGGCAUGAUGGCACACACUUGGAAUCCCAGCACUGAAGAGGCACAGACAAGUAGAUGGAUUCCUGGGGCUUUCUGGCCAGCCAGUACAGCCUACUCAACAAGCUCCAGGCCACAAAGACCCCGUCUCAAAAACAAAAUGAAAGGUCUCAGAUGAAGCCUCCCUAUUUUCCAAAGUACUGUCCCUUAAAAUGAAGCACUGAAGAGAGGCCCCAUUCUGUGCAUGCCAACCUAGGCCUUGUAGAGGUGCGUUAUUUCUCUUACGUCCUUCUGGAGAGAAUGUCAAAGAUGUUUGGUUGUAUGUUUUUGAGCUGGAAAGGACAGAUGGAGCCAUCCUCCUGUCUGGGAGCUGGGCUGACUCCUCGGGCAUCUGUGAAUGACCAUGUAUGCAAGGAUAUCAGCAUCCCCACAUCAAAAAGGCAGUCUCACCAGAGGCAGUAUCGCUGAUUUUUCCAAUAAAAAUGUACAAGAUUCAGCUAAUUACUUACU